ACGAAACGCGAAGGAGAAGAAGAAAGGAGAAGAAAAAAAAAAAGGAAGAAAAAGAUUUAGCCGUCCGAUUCCAAUUCCGACUUGGGUGUACGUUGGAGGAGAUUUGGGUGAAGUUAUAAAAAUCCAGAAAGUAUCGGUAGGAGGUACGCAUGGCACCUCCGGGACAGGGGACGUCUCGGGAGAUAGAAA